rnacentral:rRNA from 1 species
GAUGAACGCUAGCGGCAGGCUUAAUACAUGCAAGUUGAGGGGCAGCAUGAUAUACGCGAGUAUAUUGAUGGCGACCGGCGGACGGGUGAGUAAUAGGUAGGAGACCUACCUCAUACAGGGGGAUAGCAUAGAGAAAUCUGUGGUAAUACCCCAUGAGGUUAUAUGAAUAGAGGCAUAUAAUCAAAGCAUAAGCGAUUAUGCGGUAUGAGAGGGGCCUACUGACCAUUAGCUAGUUGGUGAGGUAAGGGCUCACCAAGGCGAAGAUGGUUAGGGGUUUUGAGAGAGAGACCCCCCACAUUGGAACUGAGAGACGGUCCAGACUCCUACGGGAGGCAGCAGUAGGGAAUAUUGGGCAAUGGGCGAAAGCCUGACCCAGCCAUGCCGCGUGAAGGAAGGCGGCCUUAUGGGUUGUAAACUUCUUUACUACGCGAAUAGAGGUUAGUACGAGAUACUAAUAGGAAGGUAGUGUAGUAAAAGCACCGGCUAACUCCGUG